AAAAACAUUGAAUAUUGAAUGUAAAUCUAGAAAAUGUAAAUGUAAAUCUAGAAAGACUUACUUGAGAAAAUAUAGAUUACCUAGGGUGCCAGGCUGGGAGAGGAGCCGGAGGAGUUCAGCUCUCCAGAAGCCGUUGCUUGUAACUUCUCCCUUAGCAACCUUCAGUUACUUCCGCCAUGUCACGUGAGUAUGGCCCCACGUGACUGGAGCGCCACCACCCCGUGACUGCAAUCUCCAAGAGGCACCUGCCCCUUGGCUUCCUGCUGGUGCAGAGUUUGCCUGCAUCUGUGGAGACUGAUGGAGGAGGAGGAGGAGGAGGAAGCGCGGGCGCUGCUGGCAGGCGGCCCCGAUGAAGCCCGCAGUGGAAUCCCCGCCGCCUCCCGGGCUCUGUCGGCCCUCCGCGACCCCACUCGCCUGGCGCACCGGCUUUUGGUGCUGCUACUGAUGUGCUUUUUUGGCUUCGCUAUUUUUGCAGUGAUAAUCCUGCUGCCCUUCAGACUCAGAUUCUGUGGGAUAUGCAGGUGAAUACCACAAAAUUCAUGGUGCUGUAUGCCUGGUAUUCGUGGCCCAAUGUAGUUUUGUGUUUCUUGGGUGGAUUUUUGAUAGACUGAGUCUUUGGAAUACGGUAAGUGUGAAAAAAAAAAUCUGACCUAUGGGUAAAUCUC
rnacentral:lncRNA from 1 species